rnacentral:tRNA from 2 species
CGAUAGCUCAGCGGAUAGAGCGUCUGCCUCCGGAGCAGAAGGUCGCAGGUUCGAGUCCUGUUCGG